UGCGUAGGCGGGUCUUUAAGUCAGGGGUGAAAUCCUGGAGCUCAACUCCAGAACUGCCUUUGAUACUGAAGAUCUUGAGUUCGGGAGAGGUGAGUGGAACUGCGAGUGUAGAGGUGAAACUCGUAGAUAUUCGCAAGAACACCAGUGGCGAAGGCGGCUCACUGGCCCGAUACUGACGCUGAGGCAAAGACUGGGGAGCAAACA
rnacentral:rRNA from 1 species